rnacentral:rRNA from 1 species
GACGAACGCUGGCGGCGUGCUUAACACAUGCAAGUCGAGCGGAAAGGCCAUUUCGGUGGUACUCGAGCGGCGAACGGGUGAGUAACACGUGAGUAAUCUGCCCCUGGCUUUGGGAUAGCCACCGGAAACGGUGAUUAAUACCGGAUACGACCACUUCUCGCAUGGGAUGGUGGUGGAAAGUUUUUCGGCCAGGGAUGUGCUCGCGGCCUAUCAGCUUGAUGGUGAGGUAAUGGCUCACCAUGGCUUCGACGGGUAGCCGGCCUGAGAGGGUGACCGGUCACACUGGGACUGAGACACGGCCCAGACUCCUACGGGAGGCAGCAGUGGGGAAUAUUGGACAAUGGGCGGAAGCCUGAUCCAGCAACGCCGCGUGAGGGAUGACGGCCUUCGGGUUGUAAACCUCUUUCAGCAGGGACGAAGCGCAAGUGACGGUACCUGCAGAAGAAGCACCGGCCAACUACGUGCCAGCAGCCGCAGUAACAC